rnacentral:rRNA from 1 species
CGUGUAGGCGGUUGGUCAAGUCCGGUGUGAAAGCCCGGGGCUCAGCUCCGGAAGUGCAUCGGAAACUAGCCGACUUGAGCGCGAUAGAGGAGGGUGGAAUUCCUGGUGUAGCGGUGAAAUGCGUAGAUAUCAGGAGGAACACCGGCGGCGAAGGCGGCCCUCUGGAUCGUUGCUGACGCUGAGACGCGAAAGCGUGGGGAGCAAACAGGAUUAGAUACCCUGGUAGUCCACGCUGUAAACGAUGGGUACUAGGUGUUCGGGGUGUUGACCCCCUGAGUGCCGACGCUAACGCAUUAAGUACCCCGCCUGGGGACUACGGCCGCAAGGCUAAA